CCAAAGAAUGGUGCUAUUUUCAGUUACUAAUUAAUCCAUUAAGAAACUUAAAAGCAUUCCCUUCUGGGAAAAGGGGGCCUUAUAUAGUUGACAAAAGUCCUUUAUCUUCAAAGGUCCGGAGGCUGAAUCAUUGUCAAUCUCCAGGAGUGCUGUUGUACUUUUAAAGACUCCCUAAAGGCUUCCCAUGGAAGACUGCCCAAAGGGGAAUCGAGUCAUGGAGAAAAGUUGAGCUUGAUGAAUUCCAAAUUUACCAUUUCUGUCAUUAAGAGAUUAGCCCUGAAACUGUCAUCACACACGGACCACAAAGCUCAUUUGACGUGGAGUUUCCCACCAUCUGAAUGUUGGUAACUGCAUUUUCAUGGUUCAGUCCAACACAUUCCUUUGUCUUCUGCAUAACCUACAAAUUGGCAGCUGGAUCCAGAAACUUGAUUAAACUCAGAUUCAGGCUCAUCCCUCCUGGGACGAAAGUUCCUUAUGAGCUUGAGGACCACAUCUGAUUCAUCUGCAGAGAUGAUACCAACGUGUGAUGUAGUCAAUUCUUAGUUACAGUUUGUUAAAUGAAUUUUCUUGAUCUUUCAUGGGUUUUUUUUUUUGUUGCUGAGUGCUUGUCACUCAAAAAUCUUCUGUGCUAUUAUUAUCCCUUUUCACAGAUAAGGAAACUAAGGUUAAAGGGGCUGAAAGACCGAGUAACGCACAGUUCCACCGUGCGAGCUGGGCCAGAAUUCACACGGAAGGAGGGUAACUCCAGGGCGUAUGCUCUUCAUGACUUCGCUGUAUACCUGGUUGUUCAAUUAAAAAUGUGUUGAGCAUCUGCUAUGUGUCACAGACUGUUGCAGAUGCUGGAGACAGAACAGUGACCAGGCAGAGCAGGAGCCCGGACUCUCAUGGGGGUGACAUGCUAGAGAGGAGAGUCUGAGAGGAUAUGGGAAGGAGCGGGCAGGAGACAGGGAGAGAGGGAGAAAGAGGAAUAAGUGCCGCUGCCCAGCCUGCUGCUGACUCUAGAUGUAACGGUUUAAGGGAGCACUAGACUCUUUUCCAAAGCAGCUGCACCUUUUGCAUUUCAACAACCAAAGUGUGUGGGUUCCAUUUUCUCUAUAUCCUCCCCAACAUUUGUUAUUAUCUGGUGUUUUUAAUUAUAGCUAUGAUGAACCUCACUUUUAAUUUCUGAUAGAAUUUUUUCCAAAACAAAUGUCUCAAAGCAAUUAGAUUAAGAAGAAAAGAGAGUCCUAAAUUUCGGAGCCCUCCUUAAGCUCAACGCCCGCAGCAGAGCACCCCUGUGUGUCCGUGGGAACAGUGGUUGUCCAGAUGCUCAGUGUCCAGGACACUCUCCAGCUAUCUGGAGGCAAGUGUCCCAGAUGAUCUUUCAAAGAUCAGUCAGGCUACUUUUCACUGCAAGACCCUUCCCCACACAUCUUGCUCCCUGCUGUGGCCGUGAAAAGCCAGGUAAAACACUAACUCUCUUAUACAAUAAACAGAAUGCCACCCCAGAAGUAUGUGGUAUGUGGUUAUUUU